rnacentral:rRNA from 1 species
UGGGCAAUCUGCCCUGCACUCUGGGACAAGCCCUGGAAACGGGGUCUAAUACCGGAUAUGACUGUCCAUCGCAUGGUGGAUGGUGUAAAGCUCCGGCGGUGCAGGAUGAGCCCGCGGCCUAUCAGCUUGUUGGUGAGGUAGUGGCUCACCAAGGCGACGACGGGUAGCCGGCCUGAGAGGGCGACCGGCCACACUGGGACUGAGACACGGCCCAGACUCCUACGGGAGGCAGCAGUGGGGAAUAUUGCACAAUGGGCGAAAGCCUGAUGCAGCGACGCCGCGUGAGGGAUGACGGCCUUCGGGUUGUAAACCUCUUUCAGCAGGGAAGAAGCGAAAGUGACGGUACCUGCAGAAGAAGCGCCGGCUAACUACGUGCCAGCAGCCGCGGUAAUACGUAGGGCGCAAGCGUUGUCCGGAAUUAUUGGGCGUAAAGAGCUCGUAGGCGGCUUGUCACGUCGGUUGUGAAAGCCCCGGGGGCUUAACCCCCGGGUCUGCAGUCGAUACGGGCAGGCUAGAGUUCGGUAGGGGAGAUCGGAAUUCCUGGUGUAGCGGUGAAAUGCGCAGAUAUCAGGAGGAACACCGGUGGCGAAGGCGGAUCUCUGGG